rnacentral:rRNA from 1 species
UGGGGAAUCUUGCACAAUGGGCGAAAGCCUGAUGCAGCAACGCCGCGUGAGGGACGAAGGCUUUCUGAGUUGUAAACCUCUUUCAGCAGGGACGAUGAUGACGGUACCUGCAGAAGAAGCCCCGGCCAACUACGUGCCAGCAGCCGCGGUAAUACGUAGGGGGCAAGCGUUGUCCGGAUUUAUUGGGCGUAAAGAGCUCGUAGGCGGCUUGGCAAGUCGGAUGUGAAACCUCCAGGCUUAACCUGGAGUCGCCAUCCGAUACUGCCAUGGCUAGAGUUUGGUAGGGGACCACGGAAUUCCUGGUGUAGCGGUGAAAUGCGCAGAUAUCAGGAGGAACACCAGCGGCGAAGGCGGUGGUCUGGGCCAAUACUGACGCUGAGGAGCGAAAGCGUGGGGAGCGAACAGG